GCCGGGGUGGCGGAACUGGCAGACGCACAGGACUUAAAAUCCUGCGGGAGUCAAAUCCCGUACCGGUUCGAUUCCGGUCCCCGGCACCA
rnacentral:tRNA from 1 species